GACGAACGCUGGCGGCGUGCUUAACACAUGCAAGUCGAGCGAUGAAGUUUCUUUGGAAAUGGAUUAGCGGCGAACGGGUGAGGAACACGUGAAGAAUCUGCCCUCCACUUUGGGAUAACACAGGGAAACCUGUGCUAAUACCGAAUAUUGAAACAUAAGUGGCAUCACUGAGUUUUGAAAGAAUUUCGGUGGAGGAUGACUUCGCGGCCUAUCAGCUAGUUGGUGAGGUGAUGGCUCACCAAGGCAACGACGGGUAGCCGGCCUGAGAGGGCGACCGGCCACACUGGGACUGAGACACGGCCCAGACUCCUACGGGAGGCAGCAGUGGGGAAUAUUGGGCAAUGGAGGAAACUCUGACCCAGCGACGCCGCGUGUGGGAUGAAGGCCUUCGGGUUGUAAACCGCUUUCAGUAGGGAAGAAGCGAAAGUGACGGUACCUACAAAAGAAGCACCGGCUAACUAUGUGCCAGCAGCCGCAGUAA
rnacentral:rRNA from 1 species